rnacentral:sRNA from 1 species
CAUUGUCGCCCUUCCAUGGGCGUUUCCUCCCUAGACUUGGGCCGUGUCUUCGUGACACGGCCUUUUUUUCAUCCAGU